UUGAGACAGGGAUCACAAAAGCAAUUUUCUAUCAUCAGCAGGGUCAUCAGGAUCUGAAUACCAUUGACAUUAAACUGUGGAAGGGUUCUGAAAGGGCGGAUUUGUGGAUGAGAAAUUCAAAUUGAACUUCCUGUUCCGUUUUGAUGGUUACUUGAUCCGUGCCGAUCUGAAUAUCAUUGGCCUUUUCAUGUGGAAGGAAAGGGUGCUAGAUGGUGAAGAUUCACAGACUGAAAUCUCAAAAUCAUGUGCAGAUUAUGAUUAAGUUAACCAGCAUUUGACGAACCAAAGACUGAGAGUCAAUCGGCCAAAGUCCUGCAACACUCUCCCUCACAGCAUUGUCAGUCUAUCAGCACCGAAUGGACUGCGAUUGGAUCGAGACAGCAGCUCACUACCAUCUUCUCAAGGCAACUAGAGAUGGGGAAUAAAUGCUGGUUGAGCCAGUGAUGCCCAUAUGCUGGAAAUGGUUUCUAUUCCUAUUUACUGAAACAUGAUUGUAACUACAGGAUGAUGAGGGAUGCUGAGUGCAUGCUUCAGGAGGCAGAACCAUCACAUUACCCCUGCCUAUAUCCACACAGUAACUCAGCAACGGCACUGGAACAAAAGGCAAUGAAGCUAAAGGAGGACUUAGGUAUAGUUCUUUAAGGUAAAGGCAUCAAAGUGGUUUGGAACACAGCAGAAACAGGAGACUGAGCUGGAUGGUCAGCUGUUUCCCAUUGAAUGGUGGUGCAGGAUUGAAAAGCCGAAAGUCCUCCUCCUGCCCCUAUCUCCCAGCUCUGUAUAUAACCAUGGAGCCUGGGUAGGAAGGAGUAGGCAGGACAGGGACUCUCCAGGAGAUUGCACUUCCACAUCAGUUUUCAGUGAGGGAUGGUUUGAUGGACUUUGUUUAACAUUUGUCUUUAAUGCAAAGUUUGUAAAUUUGGUUUUAAAACAUGUAAGAGUUUAUUCCACGAUAAAUGAAACGAAAAGAAAAGAAACAAAACGAUCUGAAUAUAACAGUCUUAAAAUUUCAACGCCGUAUAAAACAAAAUCCCGACGACUCCCGGACACCAUCACUUUCCAGUUACUCAAAUUCCAGAGAGAUAUUUUCCCCCUCUGUCGGAACCUUUGGUUUGAUUUAACUGCUUUUCAGUUCUC